rnacentral:rRNA from 1 species
GACGAACGCUGGCGGCGUGCCUAAUACAUGCAAGUCGAGCGAAGUGGCGGAUGGGUGAGUAACGCGUGGGUAACCUGCCCUUAAGUUUGGGAUACCAUUUGGAACCAGAUACCAAUACCGGAUACUAACGCAUGGACCUGCUAUGCUUUAGCUAGUUGGUAAGGUAACUGUUUACCAAGGCGAUGAUGCCUAGCCGAGUUGAGAUGCUGAUCGGCCACAUUGGGACUGAGACACGGCCCAAUCUCCUACGGGAGGCAGCAGUAGGGAAUCUUCCACAAUGGACGAAAGUCUGAUGGAGCAACGCCGCGUGAGUGAAGAAGGUUUUCGGAUCGUAAAGCUCUGUUGUUGGGGAAGCGGUAAUCAACCAGAAAGUCACGGCUAACUACGUGCCAGCAGCCGCGGUAAUUC